AUACGUAGGGGGCGAGCGUCGUCCGGAAUGAUUGGGCGUAAAGGGCGCGUAGGCGGCCCGGUAAGUCUGGAGUGAAAGUCCUGUUUUUAAGAUGGGAAUUGCUUUGGAUACUGUCGGGCUUGAGUGCAGGAGAGGUAAGUGGAAUUACCAGUGUAGCGGUGAAAUGCGUAGAGAUUGGGAGGAACACCAGUGGCGAAGGCGACUUACUGGACUGUAACUGACGCUGAGGCGCGAAAGUGUGGGGAGCAAACAGGAUUAGAUACCCUGGUAGUCCACACUGUAAACGAUGAAUGCUAGGUGUAGGGGGUAUCGACCCCUUCUGUGCCGCAGUCAACACAAUAAGCAUUCCGCCUGGGGAGUACGGCCGCAAGGUUGAAACUCAAAUGAAUUGGCGGGG
rnacentral:rRNA from 1 species